AAGCUCCAGCAACUGGGGAGAUACUAUGAUCACGAAGGUGGUUUUCCCAGGGUGAGGCUUGGCCAUUGCUCUCUGGAUGUGUUGACCCCUGUGAUUUCCCCAAAUGUGGGGAGCUUCGACUGCAUAAUGUGUGGUAGUGGGGGACUUCAUUUGUGCUCUCU